rnacentral:rRNA from 1 species
AUUGAACGCUGGCGGCGUGCAUAACACAUGCAAGUCGAGCGGUAACAGGUGUAGCAAUUCAUGCUGACGAGCGGCGAACGGGUGAGUAAUGCUUCGGAAUCUGCCCAAUGGUGGGGAAUAACUAGCCGAAAGGUUAGCUAAUACCGCAUACGACCUACGGGUGAAAGCAGGGGAUCGCAAGACCUUGCGCCGAUGGAUGAGCCGAAGUCGGAUUAGCUAGUUGGUAGGGUAACGGCCUACCAAGGCGACAAUCCGUAGCUGGUCUGAGAGGACGACCAGCCACACUGGGACUGAGACACGGCCCAGACUCCUACGGGAGGCAGCAGUGGGGAAUAUUGGACAAUGGGGGCAACCCUGAUCCAGCGACGCCGCGUGUGUGAAGAAGGCCUGCGGGUUGUAAAGCACUUUUAGUGGGGAUGAAAAGCCUAGGGCUAAUACCUCUGGGUCUUGACCUAACCCACAGAAAAAGCACCGGCUAACUCUGUG